rnacentral:misc_RNA from 1 species
GCCACCCCCAGCAACAAGCAACUGUAAGAUGACCAUCAUUAGCAAGAACUAUAAAAUACAUGGGCAGAAGUUUAUCAGUUUCAUUCUACGUUUGAUACUUGAAGACUAAUGGAAGAUAAAAAUGAUGAUGAAUUUGGGUAGAUAAUUUCCUUGCUAAUCUCCAAACAAGACGAUCCAUAAAAAUGAAAUAUCAUUAACUUAGUUUAAUUGGAAAUUCUGUUCUGAGAUGACCUUAUUCAAUUAACUCUUAGAUGGUUCUUAUUGAAGGUUUCUAGUUAAUUGGAAAUUCUGUUCUGAGAUGACCUUAUUCAAUUAACUCUUAGAUGGUUCUUAUUGAAGGUUUCUAGCCUUUACCUUCCCUCAGAAAUCACGACUUACAUGUAAAUUUCAACUAAUUCUAAAUAUGAACAGAAGCACCACAGAAAACUUCAGACCAACAUCCACCAACAUUAUGAUAAAAAAGUAAACUCAUUGUUACAACAAAACAAAUGGACAUGGAAAUCACAACUCUGAUUAAUUACCAUUGAGCUUGGCACAAUUAGGCGGAAUCACCACCAAGUUAGUCUUCCCUGACUUUUUGGACAAGGUCAAAAGUUUCUCAAACAACACUAGUUUGGGUUAAUUAUCAUUUGAAAUGUACUUGCGAUAAUUGUUGGUUCACAACUAUCUAAAUCUUUAAUCUUCAAUCUAUUCAAUAAGUAAUAACACAUCACUGAAAACAAAAAUCCUGACAUUUAGGAGCUGCGAGAACAAUGCUCCACUAUUUAUUAGAGGUUUAACUCAUCUAUAUAUGGUAGAACGAUGAUAUCUGAGCUUAGCACCAAGGUUUCUAAAGGAUUCUUUUCAUUGUGAUAUUCAAAGGGCAUAAACAAUGAACAUCUCAUGUUUUCCUUGUAAGUUGAAUUCUACACAUAACAUUCU